AACGAACGCUGGCGGCGUGGAUAAGACAUGCAAGUCGAGCGCGACUUAUUCUGUAGCAAUACAGGGUAAGUUGAGCGGCGAAAGGGUGCGUAACACGUGGGCAAUUUGCCAUGAAGUUGG
rnacentral:rRNA from 1 species